rnacentral:rRNA from 1 species
GACGAACGCUGGCGGCGUGCCUAAUACAUGCAAGUCGAGCGAAGAAGAUUGGUGCUUGCACCAAUUUGAAGAGCAGCGAACGGGUGAGUAACGCGUGGGGAAUCUGCCUUUGAGCGGGGGAUAACAUCUGGAAACGAAUGCUAAUACCGCAUAACAACUUUAAACAUAAGUUUUAAGUUUGAAAGAUGCAAUUGCUUCACCUAAAGAAGAUCCCGCGUUGUCUUUGGUAGGUGGUUAGGUAAAGGCCCACCAAGGCGAUGAUACAUAGCCGGCCUGAGAGGGGGGACGGGCAACUUGGGAAUGGGGAACGGCCCAAGCCCCUUCGGGGAGCAGCAGGAGGGAAUCUUCGGCAAUGGACGGAAGUCUGACCGGACAACGCCGGGUGGGGGGAGGAAGGUUUCGGGUCGGUAAACUCUGUUGAUUGGGGAGGACGAUGGUGAGAGUUGAAUGCUCAUCUAGUGACGGUAACUACCCAGAAAGCGACGGCUAACUACGUG